rnacentral:rRNA from 1 species
CAUCCAAUGUGGGGAGGUAAAUUUCUCCUAAGGCUAAAUAACGGCGAGAGACCGAUAGCGAACAAGUACCGUGAGGGAAAGAUGAAAAGCACUUUGAAAAGAGAGUUAAACAGCACGUGAAAUUGUUGAAAGGGAAACGAUUGAAGCCAGUCGUACCUUCGGGUAAUCAUCCUUUCGGGAGCGAUUCUGUGGGCUUUGAGGAGCUCAACGCCCUCAGGGUUUUCAUAUUCGUGCCCUUACGGGCUUCCGCACCGGUGGGAGAUAGCCUUCAACCAAGGUUGCCAUAAAAUGAUGGGAGGAAUGAGCUUCGAUAAGC